UGGGGAAUAUUGGACAAUGGGGGGAACCCUGAUCCAGCCAUGCCGCGUGUGUGAAGAAGGCCUUAUGGUUGUAAAGCACUUUAAGCGAGGAGGAGGGUACUGGUAUUAAUACUACCAGGUACUGGACGUUACUCGCAGAAUAAGCACCGGCUAACUCUGUGCCAGCAGCCGCGGUAAUACAGAGGGUGCGAGCGUUAAUCGGAUUUACUGGGCGUAAAGCGUGCGUAGGCGGCUAAUCGAGUCGGAUGUGAAAUCCCCGAGCUUAACUUGGGAAUUGCAUUCGAUACUGGUUAGCUAGAGUGUGGGAGAGGAUGGUAGAAUUCCAGGUGUAGCGGUGAAAUGCGUAGAGAUCUGGAGGAAUACCGAUGGCGAAGGCAGCCAUCUGGCCUAACACUGACGCUGAGGUACGAAAGCAUGGGGAGCAAACAGG
rnacentral:rRNA from 1 species